rnacentral:rRNA from 1 species
GGGGCCCGCACAAGCAGCGGAGCGUGUGGUUUAAUUCGAUGAUACACGAAGAACCUUACCCAGGCUUGACAUGUUGGUAGUAGGGAUCCGAAAGGUGACCGACCCUUCGGGGAGCCUUCACAGGUGCUGCAUGGCUGUCGUCAGCUCGUGUCGUGAGAUGUCCGGUUAAGUCCGGUAACGAGCGCAACCCUCGCUGUGUGUUAUAUGUGUCACACGGGACUGCCGGUAUCAAGCCGGAGGAAGGUGGGAUGACGUCAAGUCAGCAUGGCCUUUAUGUCUGGGGCUACACACACGCUACAAUGGCCAGUACAAUAGGUUGCAAGACCGCGAGGUGGAGCCAAUCCUUAAAGCUGGUCUCAGUUCGGAUUGCAGGCUGCAACUCGACUGCGUGAAGUCGGAAUCGCUAGUAAUCGUGGAUCAGAAUGUCACGGUGAAUACGUUCCCGGGUCUU